AUUAACCUUCCUAAAAAUGGAUGGGCUGCCAUUCGAUUUGUUGCUGACAAUCCUGGAGUGUGGUUUAUGCAUUGUCAUUUGGAAAGGCAUGCAACCUGGGGCAUGGAUACAGUUCUCAUUGUAAAGAACUACAGGCGUCACAAAAUUCGACGGCCUCCUCCUUACAUGCCUCCUUGUUAUUAGUCAUACUUUGAAAAUCAAAGUUCCCUGGGUGUUUGUAUGGCACCCACAGGGCUAAUUGAACUUCGCAUACACGAAUAGAUUUAAAUCCAAUAGAUGAAAUUUGAAGAAUAAUUUCCAUUUUGGAAUAAUGGAAUUAAAUAAUAGAUAAAACAUAAAUAAUUUUUGUAUAUGAGAUGUUGGGGGUUCAUCUUUUAUUUAAUGAUAUAUUUUCCAUCGUGAUGGUGGCACACCCGAAA